GAUGAACGCUAGCGGCAGGCUUAAUACAUGCAAGUCGUACGGGAUCCGAGGUAGCAAUACUUUGGUGAGAGUGGCGCACGGGUGCGUAACACGUAUGCAACCUACCUUUAACCGGGACACAACCCACCGAAAGGUGAGCUAAUAUCCCAUAACACUGCGAAGUGGCAUCACUUUGCAGUUAAAACUCCGGUGGUUAUUGAUGGGCAUGCGCGACAUUAGCUAGUUGGUGAGGUAACGGCCCACCAAGGCUACGAUGUCUAGGGGUUCUGAGAGGAUUAUCCCCCACACUGGUACUGAGACACGGACCAGACUCCUACGGGAGGCAGCAGUAAGGAAUAUUGGUCAAUGGGCGCAAGCCUGAACCAGCCAUGCCGCGUGAAGGAUGACGGCCCUAUGGGUUGUAAACUUCUUUUGUACGGGAAAAAACCACCGGUCGUGUAUCGGUGCUGAUGGUACCGUAAGAAUAAGCAUCGGCUAACUCCGUGCCAGCAGCCGCGGUAAU
rnacentral:rRNA from 1 species